UUAAUCAGUUCCAGCAACAUCAAUUUCUGAGAUCACUCGCUAAAUAAGACUGAUCUCAAUUUUUGUACUCAGUUAUCAAUAUUAGGAGAUUCAGUUGUUCAGUAUCUCAGUAUUAAUAGUGAGUUCAGAUGACAGUAAGGUGGUAUUCGAGUUUCAGUAUUUUGAGUCACGAUGAUUUCAAUUAUGAUUUAUGCAUUCAUGCAUGUGUUCUCAUUCAGUACUCUCAUGAUUAUUCAGUUAAGUAAUUGUUCAUGCAUAAGCCCUUGUAUUUAGCCUUACCUCAUCUUCAUACAUGGUACAUUCUCGUACUGAUGCAUUUACGCUAUGGUAUUUUAUUUGACACCAUAGGUUCAGAGGCAUGAGAUCUAGAGUACCCCCAGCAGCUCAGUCCCAGUCAGCAGCAGUAGGUGUAGCAGUGAGUCCUCUUCAUUCGAGGAUGAUCCUUAGUUUAUUUGCUUCAGAUCUGGUUUAAUUUUAGUAGACGAAGUUAUUUGGGGACAUGUCCCAUCAACUCUAUUGUUUAGACAGUUCAGAGGC
rnacentral:lncRNA from 1 species